rnacentral:rRNA from 1 species
UACGUAGGGUGCGAGCGUUGUCCGGAAUUAUUGGGCGUAAAGAGCUCGUAGGUGGUUUGUCGCGUUGUUCGUGAAAUGCCACAGCUUAACUGUGGGCGUGCGGGCGAUACGGGCAGACUGGAGUACUGCAGGGGAGACUGGAAUUCCUGGUGUCAGCGGUGAAAUGCGCAGAUAUCGGGAAGAACACCCGUGGCGAAGGCGGCUCUCUGGGACGGUACUGACGCUGAGACGCGAAAGCGUGGGGAGCAAACAGG